UGUGUGUAUACAUGGGUGCUCUUUGUUAAUGAGAAAUCAAUCUUUUCACCAUUUUACAUGGUUAUCAGAGCAUAGGUUCUGAGCCUAACCCUAGCCAAAAUCACUGCCCUCUUUUUUUCUUUUCCCUUCCUCCUUUUGUAUUGCUAAUACCAUUUCCACCAUUACGAUGGGAGAUAAGUCUGAUGCAACAUCCAACCCACCAAAACCCCUCCAUCCAGUCUAUACUGUCACCGACAUCCAACGAAAGGUGCGGGUUCUCGACGGUGUGAAGGUCUCGUAUUCAUCAUGGGUCAAGCUGUUCCAGUUGCAUGCAAGGGGAUACAAAGUAAUGAGCCAUAUCGAUGGCACCAGGUAAAGAAGAUCCAGACUAUGCUCAAUGGUCUGAAAUAGACGUAAUCGUCCUUCAAUGGAUCUACGGAUCCUUGUCAGACGACCUUUUGGUUCGCGUCUUGGACAGUGAUUCAACGGCCUUUGCUGCUUGGACUCGCAUCAAGUCCAUUUUUCUGAACAAUAAAGGGGCCAGAGCGGCUGCCCUUGAACACGAAUUUAACAACCUCACGCUCAAGAGCAUGCCGUCACUCGAAAGCUACUGCCAGAAACUCAAAGAUCUGGCGGGUCAGCUUAAUGACGUUGACUGUCCUGCUAAUGAUGAGAGACUUGUUCUUUAACUCGUUAGAGGACUACCGGUGGAAUAUGAUGUUGUUGGGGCUUACAUAAAUCAAAGCUUACCCACUUAGGAAACAGCCUGUAAUAUGCUACAGUUAGAACACCAACGUCAAACUGCAAGGGAAAACUUGUCCACUCCGGCGGCACUUGCUGCUGUUACAAAUGAGCCGCAGAGGUUUGAUCAGUCCAACCGCAGGAGAGGAGGAUCCAGGACCAAUAACUCUCGUCGACCCCAAACUCAACAGCCUACAAUCAGUGGGCCACGAGGCAAAACCCAGCCACAUCAUCAGCCUCAAACCCAAGCCCAACCUAUACCAUGGUCUGCCAACCGCAACACCCCACCCUACUGGGCCUAUUGGGCUCCUCCGCCAUGCCCAUUCCCUACCCAAUCAGGAUGGGCCCAGCCAUGGGCGACCCAAUCCGCACCAUGGGGACAACCAUCUAACCAUGGAGCAGGCCCAAGUAAACCCCCUGGUUUCUCAUAGCCAAAUGAACCUUCACCCCAAGCCCAUCUUGGUGAAUUUAAUCAGGCCCAGGUCAACGAAGUUAAUGGCUUUGAUCCACUUCAGCCCACACAAAUUGGAGAAGCCUUGCAUGCUAUGACCAUGAACACUGAAGAUGCCCAAUGGUUCAUGGAUUCUGGAGCCACUAACCACCUCACUGGAGAUCAAGGAAUACCCGAGUGGGAAGAUCAUCUCCCGCCACAAUAGCUCAAGUCGCCUCUACCCGCUUACUUAUCCAGUUACAACACCCGCUGAAUCUGCUGCUUUUGUUUCAUCGUCCCAAGAACCGUGGCAUGAUCGUUUAGGUCACCCCGGUGUUCCAGUUUUUGAUUUCCUUAUUUCCAAUAAAGUUAUCUCAUGUAAUAAGCGUGCUAAGAAUCUAGUUUGCAAUUCUUGCCAACUAUCGAAGCACAAACGUUUGCCCUUUUCAAUUUCAAAUUCUAGUACUGUUUUGCCAUUUGAUAUUAUACAUUGCGACUUGUGGACUUCA